rnacentral:rRNA from 1 species
AUUGAACGCUGGCGGCAUGCUUUACACAUGCAAGUCGAACGGCAGCGCGGGCUUCGGCCUGGCGGCGAGUGGCGAACGGGUGAGUAAUACAUCGGAACGUGCCCAGUAGUGGGGGAUAGCUCGGCGAAAGCCGGAUUAAUACCGCAUACGACCUGAGGGUGAAAGCGGGGGAUCUUCGGACCUCGCGCUAUUGGAGCGGCCGAUGGCAGAUUAGCUAGUUGGUGGGGUAAGGGCCUACCAAGGCGACGAUCUGUAGCUGGUCUGAGAGGACGACCAGCCACACUGGGACUGAGACACGGCCCAGACUCCUACGGGAGGCAGCAGUGGGGAAUUUUGGACAAUGGGCGAAAGCCUGAUCCAGCAAUGCCGCGUGUGUGAUGAAGGCCUUCGGGUUGUAAAGCACUUUUGGCGGGAACGAAAAGGACUGUGCCAAUACCACGGUUCGAUGACGGUACCCGUAGAAUAAGCACCGGCUAACUACGUG